UUAGAUCCAAAACAUAGAGAAGACAUCAUUUAAUCUUACAAUGGAAUGCUGAAUUGAAGAGUCCCUUCGGGAACACUUGGAUGUUCCCGCACAUGCAGCGCCAUCUACCGAGUCUCGGAAGUAUUUCUGAUUCUGUAUUGUUACGCGAUUCCGAUAAGGCGUAUCCCUCUUCCAGAAAUUUGUAACCCUAAUGCAGGGACACCCUGUAUAUACUUCAGCAAUAGCUGCACCCUCCGGCGGUACAGGAACGUUGUAAAAUUCUCCCUCUUCCGCCGUGAGGAGUUUGAACCAACCUUCAACGGGGUUCUUCAUGAUCUCGGAGAUGCCGAAGGAAAGCGAACCCAUGAAGUCGUUCCGUGACGUUCUGUCCCAAUCCCAGACCUCCACCAGCAAGCGCCUGUCUUUGUCUUCGGCUUUCAGAUCU